GUGGAUUUAGAAAGUUUUUGUUUGAUGUGUGGACAAAGACUUUGAGACAGGUGGUAAAAAUAAAUCAUCUUAUGCAGUUCAGAACUCAUUGCUGUAUAAGUUCUGAUACAGAUUAAGAAGAAACAUG